AUCAAUACGUAAGUCUUUGUUACUGGAUGAGUUUCUCCAAAUCCCGCGUCAGCUGGGGCGCAGAUGAUCUUGCUGGGAUACUUCGGUGGCUCGCCCUUUAAAUAUCGGCCCUUUGAAAGACUGCCUCUUGUCUUGUCUCUUGCCGCUUGAUUCACGCAUUUCAUAUUCCACGGACGAUUCUUCCUUCGGUUCUUCCUCCUUCCCUCCUUCCCUCCUUUGAGUUGGGUGCCAGCCAACUGUUUGAAUUUUGAUUGAUUCUUCACAGACACAACGCUUCAAUCGCUUUGUUCGAUGGACGAGAAUUCAAGUACUUCGCUGCUAUUGGGCAAGAACGAAAAAGUUCACUUUCACGAUUGCCCUGGUUGUCAGACGGACCGUCUCAAACAGACGAACACUGGAAUUCCUUACAAAUUCCUCUCCUACAUCUGGCUUGUCUCUCUAUGCACUGCUCUUCCAACAUCAUCUCUGUACCCGUUUGUCUACUUUAUGAUUAGGGACUUCCAUAUUGCAAUAAGAGAGGAAGAUAUUGGUUACUAUGCAGGAAUUUUGGGAUCCUCAUUUAUGGUUGGAAGAGCUUUGACAUCUGUUCUCUGGGGGAUCUUAGCUGAUCGAUAUGGUCGAAAACCUAUCGUUUUAGUUGGCACAUUAUCAGUGUUCAUAUUCAAUACUCUGUUUGGGCUAAGUACAAACUUCUGGAUGGCACUUUCUAUGAGGUUUCUUCUUGGAUGUUUCAAUAGCCUUCUCGGCACCAUACGGGCAUAUGCUUCAGAAAUAUGUAGGGAAGAGCAUCAAGCUCUAGCAUUGUCUGUUGUUAGUACAUCUCGAGGAAUAGGAUUGAUUAUUGGACCUGCAAUUGGAGGCUUCUUUGCACAGCCUGUGGAGAAGUAUCCAGAUAUAUUUUCUGGAAUUUCCUUGUUUGGAAGGUUUCCUUACUUAUUACCUUGCCUUAUAAUAUCACUUUAUUCUAUGGGAGUAUUUAUUUCUUGUUGGUGGCUUCCCUUCUGCAGCGAGUUUUGUACUCAUGGAAACUUUAUGGAUGAAACAUAUCCAUGGAGACAUACAACAGAAACCUUGCACAUUCACAAAAAGAAGGCAGAAGAAAGUUGUGGCACCUGCCAUGUGUUAGAAGAUUCUUCAAAUUCAGUUGACAAGAGAGGGGACAUCGUUGAAGCUAGAGAAAUAAAAAGUUCUUAUUAUGGAAGUUUGUUAAAGAAUUGGCCUUUGAUGUCGACAAUCAUUGUUUAUUGUGUUUUCUCACUUCAAGAAGUUGCUUAUUCAGAAAUAUUCUCAUUGUGGGCAGUUAGUGACAAAAAAUAUGGUGGCUUGAGUUUUUCUUCACAAGAGGUUGGUGAAGUUUUGGCUAUCUCAGGUUUUGGCCUUCUACUUUUUCAGCUAUUAUUGUAUCCAUCAAUUGAAAAGAUGCUUGGGCCACUUGUAGUUACACGGCUAUCAGCGGUUAUAUCAAUUCCUUUGCUAUCAAUUUAUCCCUACAUAGCAAUGCUAUCAGGUUUAAUUCUUCAUAUGGCAAUUAACCUUGCAUCCAUAUUGAGGAACACAUUGUCGGUAUCUCUAGUCACCGGAAUAUUUAUUUUGUUGAACAAUGCUGUGCCUCAACAUCAAAGAGGAGCUGCUAAUGGGAUUUCUAUGGCUGCAAUGUCUGUUUCCAAGGCAUUUGGCCCAGCAGGAGGAGGUGCUUUAUGAUCCCAAGCCCAGAUAAAGGAGGGUCCUGUUAGGUUGUAUCAACCAUCAGGAAUGAGUUGGAGAUGAAAAGGCACUAAAAGCAGCCACAGUGAAUUAAGGAGAAGCUUGAUGAAUAAUGAUGUGAAGUGAAAACAAAAUAACAUCGAUGAUUAUAGGAUGUUAUAUCACUUACAAGUUUUGAGAAAGGUUGACUAAAACAUACAGGUCAAUAUGGAAAUAUUUUGAGCUACAUCUCCAAAGUUCUUGCAUAAGCUCUCCCAGUCACCAUGCUAAACUGUUCUCUUUGGCACAAAAGCGCCAAGUUGCUGCUUUCCUCCCAGGUGAUCAGCUGGUCUUCUUCGUAUUAAACCUGAUACAGUUCAUUGGGUUGGUGUUGACCUUCAAGCCUUUCCUUGCACGCCCAUGAGCAGAGCCAUUGGUGUCC